rnacentral:rRNA from 1 species
UACGUAGGGAGCUAGCGUUACUCGGAAUCACUGGGCGUAAAGGGCGUGUAGGCGGAUGAGCAUGUCUGGUGUGAAAUCCCUCGGCUCAACUGGGGAAGUGCACCAGAAACUGCUCGUCUGGAGUGCGGGAGGGGAGAGUGGAACUCUUGGUGGAGCGGUGAAAUGCGUAGAUAUCAAGAGGAACGCCGGUGGCGAAAGCGGCUCUCUGGCCCGUUACUGACGCUGAGGCGCGAAAGCUAGGGGAGCAAGC